rnacentral:rRNA from 1 species
GACGUAGGGCGCGAGCGUUGUCCGGAUUUAUUGGGCGUAAAGAGCUCGUAGGCGGCUUGUCGCGUCGUUCGUGAAAACUCACAGCUCAACUGUGAGCUUGCGGUCGAUACGGGCAGGCUAGAGUUCGGUAGGGGAGACUGGAAUUCCUGGUGUAGCGGUGAAAUGCGCAGAUAUCAGGAGGAACACCAAUAGCGAAGGCAGCUCGCUGGGACGUUACUGACACUGAGGCGCGAAAGCGUGGGGAGCGAACAGG